rnacentral:ncRNA from 2 species
GGCAUUGAGUGUCGGUGACAAGCCCUGGCUGGCCGACCAGCAACCCUCGUUCCGCGGUGGGGUGCUCCAGGUGAAAGCCCGGCCCGUUAGCGAACCCGCGCGGGCAAGCGCGUUGA